rnacentral:rRNA from 1 species
GCAGUAGCCGCGGUAAUACAGAGGGUGCGAGCGUUAAUCGGAUUUACUGGGCGUAAAGCGUGCGUAGGCGGCUAAUUGAGUCGGAUGUGAAAUCCCCGAGCUUAACUUGGGAAUUGCAUUCGAUACUGGUUAGCUAGAGUGUGGGAGAGGAUGGUAGAAUUCCAGGUGUAGCGGUGAAAUGCGUAGAGAUCUGGAGGAAUACCGAUGGCGAAGGCAGCCAUCUGGCCUAACACUGACGCUGAGGUACGAAAGCAUGGGGAGCAAACAGGAUUAGAUACCCCAGUAGUCCCUGUCUCUUAUAC